rnacentral:sRNA from 1 species
UCUGAGACUAGGGCCAGAAGCAGCUCCAUCAGGGACCUCCCUGAGCUUCUAGGAAGCAAGUCUCCAGAGAACGGGGUUACCUGUGAGGAUUUAACUGAACAAUCCUUUGCUAAAAAAGUUGUGCUUGAACCUGGGUCCAGUCAGCCAUUUCAGUGCAAGUCAGGAUUAGAAAUACAG